UGGGGGAUAUUGGACAAUGGGCGCAAGCCUGAUCCAGCAAUGCCGCGUGUGUGAAGAAGGCCUUCGGGUUGUAAAGCACUUUUAUCAGGAGCGAAACGCUGUCGGCUAAUACCCGGCGGAACUGACGGUACCUGAGGAAUAAGCACCGGCUAACUUCGUGCCAGCAGCCGCGGUAAUACGAAGGGUGCAAGCGUUAAUCGGAAUUACUGGGCGUAAAGCGUGCGUAGGCGAUUUCUUAAGUCUGCUGUGAAAUCCCCGGGCUCAACCUGGGAAUGGCAGUGGAUACUGGGAGGCUAGAGUGUGUCAGAGGGUGGUGGAAUUCCCGGUGUAGCGGUGAAAUGCGUAGAGAUCGGGAGGAACAUCAGUGGCGAAGGCGGCCACCUGGGACAACACUGACGCUGAGGCACGAAAGCGUGGGGAGCAAACAGGAUUAGAUACCCUGGUAGUCCACGCCCUAAAGCGAUGCGAACUGGAUGUUGGUCUCAACUCGGAGAUCAGUGUCGAAGCUAACGCGUUAAGUUCGCCGCCUGGGAGUACGGUCGCAAGACUGAACUU
rnacentral:rRNA from 1 species